UGGGGAAUAUUGGACAAUGGGCGCAAGCCUGAUCCAGCAAUGCCGCGUGAGUGAUGAAGGCCUUAGGGUUGUAAAGCUCUUUUACCCGGGAUGAUAAUGACGGUACCAAUAGAAGAAGCCCCGGCUAACUUCGUGCCAGCAGCCGCGGUAAUACGGGGGGGGCAAGCGUUGUUCGGAAUUACUGGGCGUAAAGGGCGCGUAGGCGGCCUUCUAAGUCGGACGUGAAAUCCCUCGGCUCAACCGAGGAACUGCGUCCGAUACUGGAAGGCUUGAAUCCGGGAGAGGGAUGUGGAAUUCCAGGUGUAGCGGUGAAAUGCGUAGAUAUCUGGAGGAACACCGGUGGCGAAGGCGGCAUCCUGGACCGGCAUUGACGCUGAGGCGCGAAAGCUAGGGGAGCAAAC
rnacentral:rRNA from 1 species